rnacentral:misc_RNA from 1 species
AGCAGCCGCGGUAAUUCCAGCUCCAAUAGCGUAUAUUAAAGUUGUUGCAGUUAAAAAGCUCGUAGUUGAAUUUCGGGAUCAGUUGAUCGGUCGUGCCUCGGUACGUACUGGUCAAAUUGAUUCCUACCUUCUGACGAACCACGAUGUCAUUAAUUUGGUGUCGUGGGAAAUCAGGACUGUUACUUUGAAAAAAUUAGAGUGUUUAAAGCAGGCUCGCGCUUGAAUACAUUAGCAUGGAAUAAUGAAAUAGGACGUUUGAUUCUAUUUUGUUGGUUUCUAGGAUCGACGUAAUGAUUAAUAGGGAUAGUUGGGGGCAUUAGUAUUCAAUUGUCAGAGGUGAAAUUCUUGGAUUUAUUGAAGACUAACUACUGCGAAAGCAUUUGCCAAGGAUGUUUUCAUUAAUCAAGAACGAAAGUUAGGGAUCGAAGACGAUCAGAUACCGUCGUAGUCUUAACCAUAAACUAUGCCGACUAGGGAUCGGAUGAUGUUAAUUUUUAAUGUACUCAUUCGGCGCCUUAAC